AGCGAACGCUGGCGGCAGGCCUAACACAUGCAAGUCGAACGGGUUCCUUCGGGGACCAGUGGCAGACGGGUGAGUAACACGUGGGAACGUACCCUUCAGUUCGGAACAACCCAGGGAAACUUGGGCUAAUACCGGAUACGCCCUUCGGGGGAAAGAUUUAUCGCUGAAGGAUCGGCCCGCGUCUGAUUAGCUAGUUGGUGAGGUAACGGCUCACCAAGGCGACGAUCAGUAGCUGGUCUGAGAGGAUGAUCAACCACACUGGGACUGAGACACGGCCCAGCAUCCUACGGGAGGCAGCAGUGGGGAAUAUUGGACAGUGGGAGAAAGCCUGAUCCAGCCAUGCCGCGUGGGGGAUGAAGGCCCUAGGGGUGUAAAGCUCUUUCGGCGGGGACGAUAAUGACGGUACCCGAAGAAGAAGCCCCGGCUAACUUCGUGCCAGCCGCCGCGGUAACAC
rnacentral:rRNA from 1 species